rnacentral:SRP_RNA from 1 species
GCCCAGGCCCUGCGCGGCGGGUCCUCCGAACCGUGUCAGGCCUUGACGGGAGCAGCACUAAGGGGUUCUUCCCGGGUGUCGCAGACCGGCCUGGGCCGG